ACACUGAGGAUUGACAGACAAAUAUAGAAAUUUUAUAUUUCUCAUAUAUAAAGAUGCUAGUUCUUUCAUGAUUAUGUGAUAGGUGGUGCAUGGCCGUUCUUAGUUCGUGGAGUGAUCUGUCUGCUUAAUUGCGUUUCAAUUUUUAUUAUGUAUACGUAUGACCCACGUUUACGCGUGCGAGUCUAGUAUGCUAUCAUUUGAAAGCAACGAACGUGACCGUAUCCUUUUAUUAUAUACGCACGCGUAUAUUUAUUCAUUAAAGGGACCGCUGUUUCUUUUUUUAAACCAGAGGAAGGUUACGGCAAUAACAGGUCUGUGAUGCCCUUCGAUGUUCCGGGCUGCACACGUGCUACAAUGAUUAUUUCAUUAAGUAUCUACUAUACUGCACAUUAUGUGUAUUAAAACCUACCCUGAGAAUGGGCGGGUAAUCAAUUAGAAGUAAUGAUUUCCUUUUUUUUAUACGCAACUAUGUACCGUAUAUUACAUCCCAUAAUAUUUUUUUAUUAUGCGUGUGUGUUUUAUUACCGUGUACGCGUAAUUGUUAAUUCAUGGUGGGGAUAGACCAUUGUUAAUUGUUGGUCUCGGUCUUAACUAGGAAUGCCUUGUACGGGUCAUUG
rnacentral:rRNA from 1 species